rnacentral:rRNA from 1 species
UACGUAGGGGGCAAGCGUUGUCCGGAAUCAUUGGGCGUAAAGAGCGCGUAGGCGGUCCGGUAAGUCCGCUCUGAAAGUCCGGGGCUCAACCCCGGGAGGCGGGCGGAUACUGUCGGGCUAGAGUCCGGAAGAGGCGAGUGGAAUUCCUGGUGUAGCGGUGAAAUGCGCAGAUAUCAGGAGGAACACCGAUGGCGAAGGCAGCUCGCUGGGACGGUACUGACGCUGAGACGCGAAAGCGUGGGGAGCGAACAGG